CUCCCGACUCCAAAACAAGAUUAUCUUUUGGUUCCAAGACACUCUCUCUCUCUGACUUCUCAUCCCGCCUCUGAGUCACCAUCUCCGGCCACUUCUCCAGGUUGGUGGAAGAUGGGAAGAGUGUUCGUGAUAGAACUCGAGGGACCAGUCUAUACAUGCAAAAAGUGCCACACACAUCUCGCACUCCCCAGUAAUAUCAUCUCUAAGAAUGGUCGUCACGAGUAUGAGUUCUCUAGACUCUUCAAUACAUUUCUGGUUGAAAGAACGGUCAAAGAUAUCUUUUGUGUCGUUUGUUCCAAUGAGAUCGGCAUUUAUGGCGUAAGAAAAGAC